UCCCUGGUAGCUCAGAUGGUAAAGAAUCUGCCUGCAAUGCAGGAGACCCGGGUUCGAUCCCUGGGUCGGGAA
rnacentral:tRNA from 1 species